ACAUAUUUUUAUAUUUUUUAUACUGCUGCUCAUUUUUCUUAUACAUAUACAUAUAUUUUUUCCAAUUGUUUUUUCUGCGUUCUCUUUGUGAUUUGCUGCCAUGCGCAAAGCAAUAUCACAAUAAACAACUCAAUGAAAGCUUUACUAAUUAUUGACCGCCUCAAUACUUCCGUUGGGUGGUUUUUUGAGUUAUUUUCUACCUACAAAUGUAUUGUGUUUGCUCUCUUCCGUCCCUCACUAUCACAAUCUCUUCAAUUUAGUUUACUGUAAAUACUUAUUUAAUCAUUAGUAAGUAGAUGCAGUAUUUUAUAAUUAAAUUUUUUAACAAAUUAAGGGUGAUUCAGCAAUAAGUAUAUUUAAAGAUACAUACAAAUUGCUGCCCUAACAAAAGCCUGAAUAAAUCCGAAUAAUUAUAUUAGUAAUAUAUGUACAAGCACAAAAUAUUUAUUAAUUAUAGAUUUUCCAUAACCAACCCACAACUAUAUUAUCUACAAAGUGGAUAUAUGUACAUGUAUCUUCAAUGGUUAACCAUCUGUAUACACCAACCACCACCAUCAUAUCAAGCCGCAAUUGCAUUUCAACUACUAAUUACUCACCAUCAAAGCCCAAUUUGUUGGAAAUCUCCUGCCAUUGAUGCGCUGUAUGCAGUUUGUCCUUGAAACUGGCUGAAUUGCGGUCGUAAAAGCCAGGACGUGCACGAAAUUCUCGUAUGA